rnacentral:sRNA from 1 species
AGGUUGUCGAAUGGUGGAAAAUAAAGGAUGAUUAGUUUUUAUCCCUUCGCUUGCCUUUUAUUUCUAUUCAUGUUAUUCUAAUCAAGAAUUAUUUUUGUUCGGUAACAAGCGACAUCGCCUGGAUACGUUUGAGCAAGAAUAGUAAUACAAUUGUGUGGUAAACACACUAGGAGGCAACAAAAAUGGAAAACGGUAAAGUAAAAUGGUUUAAUGCAGAAAAAGGUUUCGGAUUCAUCGAGCGCGAAGGUGGAGACGAUGUAUUCGUUCACUUCUCAGCUAUCCAAGGCGAAGGCUUCAAAACUCUUGAAGAAGGCCAAGAAGUAACUUUCGACGUUGAACAAGGAGCUCGUGGACCACAAGCUGCUAACGUUCGCAAAAACUAAUUUUAGGUUUUGCCCAUAAAAAACAGGUUCCCUUAGGGGAGCCUGUUUUUA